rnacentral:rRNA from 1 species
AUUGAACGCUGGCGGCAGGCCUAACACAUGCAAGUCGAGCGGAUGAAGGGAGCUUGCUCCUGGAUUCAGCGGCGGACGGGUGAGUAAUGCCUAGGAAUCUGCCUGGUAGUGGGGGAUAACGUCCGGAAACGGGCGCUAAUACCGCAUACGUCCUGAGGGAGAAAGUGGGGGAUCUUCGGACCUCACGCUAUCAGAUGAGCCUAGGUCGGUUUAGCUAGUUGGUGGGGUAAAGGCCUACCAAGGCGACGAUCCGUAACUGGUCUGAGAGGAUGAUCAGUCACACUGGAACUGAGACACGGACCCGACUCCGACGGGAGGCAGCAGUCGGGAAUAUUGGACAAGGGGCGAAAGCCUAAUCCAGCCAUGCCGCGUGUGUGAAGCAGGUCUUCGGAUUGUAAAGGACUUAGAGUUGGGAGGAAGGGAAGUAAGUUAAUACCGUGCUGUUUUGACGUUACCCACAGAAUAAGCACCGGCUAACUCCGUG